AUGCCAAAAACCCUAGAGUUGUUCUCAGCCGCAGCGGCGGAGAUCGGGCGGAGGUGAAGCGGGAGCGAAUCGUCGGAUGCGUUAGGUUGGGGGUGAUGGGUAAGUAAUCCUCCGGUGGCGGAAAGUUCCUUACCUAUACCCCCCAUGCCGAAGGCUUCCGAUUUUCCUCCCCGUUCAUUCUCCAGCUCUGUAGAGCUAUGUGGUUUCUUCGUGAUUUCGCUAGAUCUACUCGGUUCUUUGGUCACAGGUGUAGUCGGAUUUAUUUAUUCAUUCUUCAACUUUUUUGGUCUAGAUCUGCGUUUCCUGUUUCGAUAUAUAUAUAUUAUUUCUCUCUCUUGAUUACCUUCUUUUCUAUGUUUUGGUUCAUUUUCUACUGCUGGAUCUGUUACAUAAGCGAACAAGGAAUUGUUCCAUUCCAGUAAAAGUAAUGUUCUUCAGGUUCAUUAUUAAUUACUUUAAUUUCAUAGGUAUAUGUAGCGUAGAUAAGAAACUGAGGAAUUGCAAGAAGGAUAAGAAUCCAAGCUAUUUAGCAACUGACAUGAAGGCCAGGUUUGUUGUAGCCAGAGAAACUCCCAGAUGAGCUGCUCCAGUUCCACUGUAUAUAUUCCUUUCGUGUUAUAAACUGUCAAGCUUUGUCUGUGAAUUUUUAUCAGAGGAGAGAAGUGACCUGGGCGUGUAAAUUGGGGACUAUUAUUUGUGUGACCAUAUGAUAACACGGGCGUGUUUCGAUUUAUCCGAACUGGCGAAUUUCAUACUUGUAUUUUGUAUAUUUUUUUCCUUAAAACUUUUGAGACAAAUUAUAAUGGUAUGAAAAUGGACAUGAAAACAAGUGUAUUAUACCAA